ACUCCUACGGGAGGCAGCAGUGGGGAAUAUUGCACAAUGGGGGAAACCCUGAUGCAGCCAUGCCGCGUGUGUGAAGAAGGCCUUCGGGUUGUAAAGUACUUUCAGCAGUGAGGAAGGCGGGUACGUUAAUAGCGUGCUUGUUUGACGUUAGCUGCAGAAGAAGCACCGGCUAACUCCGUGCCAGCAGCCGCGGUAAUACGGAGGGUGCGAGCGUUAAUCGGAAUUACUGGGCGUAAAGCGCAUGCAGGUGGUUUGUUAAGUCAGAUGUGAAAGCCCGGGGCUCAACCUCGGAAUUGCAUUUGAAACUGGCAGACUAGAGUACUGUAGAGGGGGGUAGAAUUUCAGGUGUAGCGGUGAAAUGCGUAGAGAUCUGAAGGAAUACCGGUGGCGAAAGGCGGCCCCCUGGACAGAUACUGACACUCAGAUGCGAAAGCGUGGGGAGCAAACAGGAUUAGAUACCCUGGU
rnacentral:rRNA from 1 species